AUUGAACGCUGGCGGCAGGCCUAACACAUGCAAGUCGAACGGUAACAGGAAGAAGCUUGCUUCUUUGCUGACGAGUGGCGGACGGGUGAGUAGUGUCUGGGAAACUGCCUGAUGGAGGGGGAUAACUACUGGAAACGGUAGCUAAUACCGCAUAACGUCGCAAGACCAAAGAGGGGGACCUUCGGGCCUCUUGCCAUCGGAUGUGCCCAGAUGGGAUUAGCUAGUAGGUGGGGUAACGGCUCACCUAGGCGACGAUCCCUAGCUGGUCUGAGAGGAUGAGCAGCCACACUGGAACUGAGACACGGUCCAGACUCCUACGGGAGGCAGCAGUGGGGAAUAUUGCACAAUGGGCGCAAGCCUGAUGCAGCCAUGCCGCGUGUAUGAAGAAGGCCUUCGGGUUGUAAAGUACUUUCAGCGGGGAGGAAGGGAGUAAAGUUAAUACCUUUGCUCAUUGACGUUACCCGCAGAAGAAGCACCGGCUAACUCCGUG
rnacentral:rRNA from 1 species